CAGGCGGCCCCUGGAGUCCGCGGUCGGCGACGAAGUGCUCCGCCGCACGCACCCUCUCAGCGAUGCUGCAAAAGGGUUUGCUGCUUCCCUCGCGCCUAGAUGGGAUGGCCCUUACCUGAUCGCGAAACGUAUUUCUAGCUUGGUGUACCUCUUGCGGGAAAAACACGGCAGCAGAGUAAUAGGGCCCGUAAGCUUGCACGACCUCAAAGCAUACUACGAGCGCCCAUCAGACAGCAGUUAGCAGUUACCACGAGAAUGCCACGCUACCACUCCAACGGGCGGGACCAGCCUGGAUGCCACGGCAGCCCAUCGAAACUUCACCUACGUCGUCGGCCUCUCACCGAGGCGACCGAUGUGCGUUAGCGUCGGUUGGGCGAAAAGUGCAUUGUCUCUGAAAGAGCGCAUGCCAAUUGGAGCCGUCACGUGGAGCUCCGAACGACGCCAGACACCAUUCCAGCCCAUCGCGUGCCAACUGCCCCGAACAUUUUGCUUCGCAAUAGCCGUGAUGUACUGGACUAGGACGAUGCAUGGUGCUGUUGUUGCAUAGUGUUGUUGCAUAGUGUUGUUGCAUAGUGUUGUUGCAUAGUGUUGUUGCAUAGUGUUGUUGCAUAGUGUUGUUGCAUAUGUUGUUGCAUAGCGUUGUUGGACACCCAGGCGGGUGUCCGGUCUUGUACGGGGGGGGGGGGGAGUGUCGGGCCCUUGGGCCCUCUCUGCAGCGCGCACGGGGGAAGCCUUUGAAACGCGCGCCACAACGGCACUCGUCGCAUGGAGCAUGCGCACCGAUCGGUUACCGUGAGAACUCGCGGGGGGAACGCCGGGAAGGCGG
rnacentral:lncRNA from 1 species